UCGAGAAUUUUUCGCAAUGGGCGCAAGCCUGACGAAGCGACGCCGUGUGAGUGAAGAAGGCCUUCGGGUUGUAAAACUCUUUCGCCAGGAAACAAGAGAGGUCGACAAAUAAUCGGCCGAUUUGAUGGUACUUGGUAAAGAAGCACCGGCUAACUCCGUGCCAGCAGCUGCGGUAAUACGGAGGGUGCAAGCAUUGAUCGGAAUUACUGGGCGUAAAGGGCGCGUAGGCGGCCAGGUAAGUCAGAUGUGAAAUUCCGGGGCUCAACCCCGGAGCUGCAUUUGAAACUACCCGGCUAGAGGUUGGUUAGGGAAAACGGAAUUCCACGUGUAGCGGUGAAAUGCGUAGAUAUGUGGAAGAACACCGGUGGUGAAGACGGUUUUCUAGGCCAAACCUGACGCUGAGGCGCGGAAGCUAGGGGAGCAAACAGG
rnacentral:rRNA from 1 species